AUGUCCCCACAUCCCCCAUGUCCCCAUGUCCCCAUCACUCCCCGGGGGGGAAUGCCACCCCUGUGUCCCCACAUCCUUGUCACUCCCUGGGGUGGGAUGUCACCCCAUGGUCCUUUGUCCCCCCAUGUCCCCACGUCCCUGUCCCUCCCUGGGGUGGGAUGUCACCCCAAUGUCCCCACAUCCCCCAUGUCCCCAUGUCCCUGUCCCUCCCCGGGGUGGGAUGUCACCCCCAUGUCCCCCAUGUCCUUGUCCCUCCUGGAGGUGGGACCCCACCCCCGUGUCCCCCACAUCCCCCACGUCCCCAUCCCUCCCNNNNNNNNNNNNNNNNNNNNNNNNNNNNNNNNNNNNNNNNNNNNNNNNNNNNNGGACAAGGUUGUCCCCCCCCAAAAAACGGGGGGAAGGAGCCCCUCGUCCUCCCAACGGGGUGUAUUGUGGUGGGGGUGUCCCCAAAUGUCCCCAAAUGUCCCUAAGUGUCCCCAAAGUUGGGGAGGGGGGGGCUCAGCCCAGCUCCUCCCGGCUCUUGCCCACCUUCUUGGGCAUCUUGCGGGCGCUGGUGUCCUCCAGCUCCUUGGCCUGGUAGUAAUGGGGGGCCACCUCCAGCAGCCACCCGCUCUCGAUCUCGAUCACCUGGGAGGGGGGGACAACAACAAAGGGGACACUUGGUGGCCUUGGGGACAGACCAGGGAGCCCCCAGGCCACGGGGUGGGGGAUGGGACACGGAGAUGUCCCAUGGCGGGGGGGAUGGCGUCGUGGUGGAACCCAUGGGGACGUGGCCACCAGGUUCCUGUCACCCUGGUCCCCGUGGAGAUGUGGCCACCAGGUUCGUGUCACCCUGGUCCCCGUGGGGAGGUGGCCACUGAGUCACUGUCACCCUGGUCCCCAUGGGGAGGUGGCCACCAGGUUUGUGUCACCCUGGUCCUCAUGGGGGGAUGUGGCCACCAGGUUCCUGUCAACCUGGUCCCCGUGGGGACGUGGCCACCAGGUUUGUGUCACCCUGGUCCCCAUUGGGAGGUGGCCACCAAGUCACUGUCACCCUGGUCCCUCUGGGGACGUGGCCACCAGGUUUCUGUCACCUUGGUCCCCGUGGGGGGAUGUGGCCACUGGGUUCCUGUCACCCUGGUCCCCGUGGGGAGGUGGCCACCAGGUUCCUGUCACCCUGGUCCCCGUGGGGACGUGGCCACCAGGUUUGUGUCACCCUGGUCCCCGUGGGGAGGUGGCCACUGGGUUCCUGUCACCCUGGUCCCCGUGGGGGAAGGUGGCCACCAGGUCACUGUCACCCUGGUCCCCAUGGGGACGUGGCCACCAGGUCACUGUCACCUUGGUCCCCGUGGGGAGGUGGCCACCAAGUCACUGUCACCCUGGUCCCAAUGAGGACAUGGUCAUUGAGUGACUGUCACCCUGGUCCCCGUGGGGAGGUGGCCACCAAGUCACUGUCACCCUGGUCCCCGUGGGGACAUGACUGUGGGCUCCUUGGUCCUGUCCCCACAGCCACAUCCCUUUUCUAAUGGCCCCGUGGCCACAUCUUUGGCCCCAUGUCCCCAACCCCAUGGAGAUGUCCCCAUCCCUACAGCCACGGGAGGAUGUGGCCACCAGGUUUGUGUCACCCUGGUCCCUGUGAGGAGGUGGCCACCAAGUCAUUGUCACCCUGGUCCCCGUGGGGACAUGGCCACCAGGUUCCUGUCACCCUGGUCCCCAUUGGGAGGUGGCCACCAGGUUCCUGUCACCCUGGUCCCUGUGGGGACAUGACUGUGGGCUCCCUGGUCCUGUCCCCACAGCCACGUCCCCAUGGCCACAUCUCUGUCCCCAUCCCAACAUCUCCAUGGCCACAGAGAUGUCCCUGACCUUGUCCCCAUCCCCAUAGAGAUAUCCUUGUCCCCAUCCCAACGUCCCCAUGGCCACAGAGAUGUUCCUGUCCCCAUCCCAAGGUCCUCAUGGCCACGUCGCUGACCUUGUCCCCAUCCCAACGUCCCCAUCCCACAGAGAUGUUCCUGACCUUGUCCCCAUCCCCAUAGACAUGUCCCCAUCCCAACGUCCCCAUGGCCACGUCCUUGACCUUGUCCCCAUCCCCACAGAGAUGUCCCUGUCCCCAUCCCAAGGUCCCCAUGGCCACGUCCCAGACCUUGUCCCCAUCCCUAUAGAGAUGUCCCCAUCCCAGUGUCCCCAUGGCCAUGUCUCUGACCUUGUCCCCAUCCCCAUAGGGAUGUCCCUGUCUGUCCCCAUCCCCAUAGAGAUGUCCCCAUCCCAACGUCCCCAUGGCCACAGAGAUGUUCCUGUCCCCAUCCCAACGUCCCCAUGGCCACAUCCCUUACCUUGUCCCCGUCCCAAUGUCCCCAUCCCACAGAGAUGUCCCUGUCCUUGUCCCCAUCCCUAU
rnacentral:lncRNA from 1 species